AACAUCAUCAGCCAUAUUUCGGCAUAGUUCUCCCUCAAGGAGAGAUGCCACAGUGGGUCAUUCCUAUUGAAGAGGAUUCUAUAUCUCUCAUGGUUCCAAAAGACUUAUAUGACAAGAUUCUUGGAUUGGCAUUUUGUGUUGUUCUUGAUAAUAUAAAAACCUCAGUUGAGAUUUUAGUACAUGUCGAUGGUGUAAAGCAGGAGAGUAUAAGGGAAGAUUUCCCCUAUCCAUUGCAUUCGGAACAUAUCUGCCUUCGCUAUGUCACACCACUUAACUUAUGGGGAGUAGUUGAUUUUGGUCAAAUUGAUGGGAAAUAUGCAAAGUUUAGCCUUACCAAAUCGAGAAAAGCGAAAAGGUGGGGACUUCGAAUAAUAUGCAAGCAAUUAGGGGACGAUUUAAAGGUCGAGCUUCAAGAUAAUCAGCUGAUAAAUCCAGCUUUACUCUACGAAGUUGGUCAUGAAUCAAUAGACUCACCAAAGGGGGAGUUCAUUUAUGCACGAAGAUAAUUCGAGUGGAGCAAAUCGACAGGAGGACUUGCAAGAUGGUCAAAUGAGUAUCGAGGAACAUAGUCAUAUAGGAUCAAAGAGAAUUCGCACUCAAGGCAUGCGAACCAAGACUUUGCUGACUUCCAAUUUGACCAGCAGAAACGAGAAUGGUGGUGUUGGCUUGCAGCUAUUGUUGUUAGAAUGAUGGGAACUUGCAGAGGAAGCAAUUGGUAGAUAGAGAGGAGCUCGACUUACUGCUACUUCUUGACUUAAUAUCGAGAAAACGAGUUCGAAGGUUGGGGCCGGAGAGUUAGAUGAGGGGAGGGGGGCUUGGGAUGUGCAUUUUGAUGCUGUUAGAAGAAACAAUUUUGGAAGAGAAAGAUACAACUUCCAUGGAAUAUAGAGGACGAAGGCACAUUAUAGAAGAGAGACGCACCCACGAGCACUCUCCAAUCAUGGAGCAAUCCUGAUCGCUAGCCCUUCCCUUCGCUUUAUUAUUAUUGUAAAUAAACUCAAACACGUGUUUCAUAACAACCUUGAGGACAUAGCUAUUUCCGCUAUGUCAUUUUUUUUUUCUUGAAAACUGACCUUUUGAGAAUUAUAAACAUUGAUUUUUUUGGCGAAAUGAAAUAAAAAGAGCGUAUCGAAAUCGAUUUUAAUCUUUCUCAACGAUUAACCUGCCCUCUUGAACCUUUUUUUUUUCUUCUUUUCCUUUGAUUUUCCCGUUGUUGUAAAACUUCCGACUCCGCCAACGCCUCAUCUUCCAUCCCCCACACCAGCGAUCUCCGACGAAAUGGAAGAAGAAUAAGAUGUUCGUCUUCCUGAAACGGAGUCCCUAUUGAACUUGACGGCGACGGAGACCGGCCGGCGGAGGCGACGGACUACCACCAUCGACCGAAGCCGUGGAAACUGAUGACGAUUCUCCCCUGAGGUGCGUUCUGGGCUUCGUGCAGCUUGCUAUAGAUCAGGAUGUGUCAGUUGAAUUUGUUCGAGAGACGCUGAAUCGGUGUGUCUUCGUAAGUUUUGUCUCUGAAUGUUUGGUAGUGAAUUCACAGGUUAUCGACGUUACGCGCUGCAAAAUCAGCGACGAUCUCUGGAAGGUGUGGCUUUUCUUUCUUUGUUUCCAUAGGUGGCAAUUUAUUGAAAGAAGUAGGUGAAGUCUAGGUUCCAAGGAAAAACAAGUGAGGAAAGAACGAAAUAAUGGGGUGUAGGGGUGUACAUGGGUUGGUUCAAUCCCCUUUUCAGGCGAAAAACUGAGCCAAUCUGGGUGCUGUGGGUUGGGCCAAUGGAUAACUGGUUAGGUAGUUAUUUUCUUUCGCCUUGUAGACUGUGGAUAUGAAAAAGAAAUAAUCACCAGAAACAAGGAGUUUACAUGAGCUAUUCAGUAGAAUAGAGACAAAAGCACAAGUAGCUGAUUGUUGAUUCUGAAUUCUGAGGCCUUCGCAACUGUUUAAGAUUCUCUUUUUAUUCUUAUGUUGCCGUAGCUUUUAUGAAGGAAAAUGACCGAGAAGCUAAAACUCCUGGAUGCUUCUUGAAUGUUUGAGUGAAACCUGAUUAAUGUAGUUUCUCAAUUAGUUGUUGUUUUUGUUUUAUUGUUGUCUGAGCCAUAUCAGUUUGAGUGUUAGGUGGGAUUUGCAUCUGAAUUACAGGAUGAGUAUGUAUUCGUAAUCAUCACUUGGAAGUUUGGGACCAGUAUAUAACGCAGGACCUGCAAAAUUUUGAUCUUAUAGCUACGAGAUAUGGAUUCAUUUCAUUAGUAGCUGCAUGUUGAUACUGAAAUAUUUCUACUGCUGGCAACUUGAUGUUCAUUUUCCCUUGAAUUGCCUGUAUGCAAGUAUAAGAGAAAUUCUGACUCUAAUACCCAUAUUUUUUUCCCCUAACAAGUAACAAGACCUAUUUGCAUUUUUAAUAUAAGGCAAAGCUUGCUUUGGACAGCCUCAAUGUUCCAUUUGGCUGUGUGAUUGGUGAGAAACCGUGCCUUAUUGUAGCAGGAAGAAAUAGGACUAAUGAGAAACAUAAUGCAACAAGAUGUGCAGAAAUGGAAGCUCUUGAUGUUCUUCUUGAACAGUGGCAGAGUAUUGGGAUUUUGUCUGCAGAAGUUGCAGAGAAGUAUUCAGCGUGCUCCCUUUAUGUGACCUGAACUAUGCAUAAUGUGUGCAGCAGCAUCAUCAAUCAUUGGUAUGAAGGAAGUGUAUUAUGACUCUGCAAAUGAUAAAUGUGGAGGCUGCAGCUCAAUACUGUUGUUGCAUCAAGCAACUCCAAGGAAUGAAUUAGUAAUGGAAAUUCUGGAUCGAAGGGUUUCCACUGUUGUGGAGGUAUGAUGGCAUCAGAAGCAAUUUCUCAUCUGCAAGAUUUUUAUGAACAAGGAAACCCUAAUGCUGAAAAGUCUCUCAAGUCACGGGUUACUCAGGCUUCUCAUUAGAUCUGUGUGGAUUGAUUCUUCCUGUUGAAUCUUCUUAUGGCUUUGCACGACUAGAAUUUCAUCAGGGACCUGUGGAAGGAAGCGUGAUACUUGUCCAUAUCAGUUUGUUCCAGGAUGUUCAUGUUUUUACAGAAGGUUGCAGUUGUGAUUGGAAGUCCAUUUCAUGCUUUAACUUGAUUAUAAGAUUGUUAAGAUAAGUUACGGCAUCAACUGUGUAGGCAUCACUUUUCUGGUGCUAAUUUUUGUCAUCGAUGUAUUCUGUAAUCUGGCUUAUCUUUUUAUGACUCUUUUGAACUUUGAGUUAUUCGAGGUGUGCUAUUGAUGUCUUUGAGCUCCAGAGUUCCGGACCAAAUCAUGUGUCAUGCCUAAUGACUAUAAAGAGGACAAUGAUUUGCAUGUGUUUCAUGUAGAUUCCCUGGCAAAGAAUUGGAAUUGGUGGAUUUAA